ACGGGUGAGUAACACGUGGGCAAUUUACCUUUCAGACAGGGAUAACACCGGGAAACUGGUGCUAAUACCUGAUACGCUUAGCGGUAGGCAUCUACUGCUGAGGAAACAGAGGCCUCUCGACGAAGCUCCUGCUGAAAGAUAAGCCCGCGCCUGAUUAGCUAGUUGGUGGGGUAAGGGCCUACCAAGGCAACGAUCAGUAGCCGGCCUGAGAGGGUGAACGGCCACACUGGGACUGAGACACGGCCCAGACUCCUACGGGAGGCAGCAGUGGGGAAUAUUGCGCAAUGGGGGAAACCCUGACGCAGCAACGCCGCGUGAGUGAAGAAGGUUUUCGGAUCGUAAAGCUCUGUCAAUUGGGAAGAAGGUCUACUAGUUAAUAGCUAGUGGGAUGACGGUACCUAAGAAGGAAGCUCCGGCUAACUAUGUGCCAGCAGCCGCGGUAAUACAUAGGGAGCAAGCGUUAUCCGGAAUUACUGGGCGUAAAGGGCGCGUAGGCGGUAGCUUAAGCUAGAUGUGAAAGACCAUGGCUCAACCAAGGAACUGCAUUUAGAACUGGGCGACUAGAGGA
rnacentral:rRNA from 1 species